CUCCGUAGGUGAACCUGCGGAGGGAUCAUUACUGAGUGAAGGGCCUCCGGGCCCGACCUCCAACCCUUUGUGAACACACUUGUUGCUUCGGGGGCGACCCUGCCGUUUCGACGGCGAGCGCCCCCGGAGGCCUUCAAACGCUGCAUCUUUGCGUCGGAGUUUAAGUAAAUUAAACAAAACUUUCAACAACGGAUCUCUUGGUUCUGGCAUCGAUGAAGAACGCAGCGAAAUGCGAUAAGUAAUGUGAAUUGCAGAAUUCAGUGAAUCAUCGAAUCUUUGAACGCACAUUGCGCCCUUUGGUAUUCCGAAGGGCAUGCCUGUUCGAGCGUCAUUUCACCACUCAAGCCUGGCUUGGUAUUGGGCGCCGCGGUCCAUCCGCGCGCCUCAAAGUCUCCGGCUGAGCUGUCCGUCUCCAAGCGUUGUGAUUUCAUUAAUCGCUUCGGAGCGCGGGCGGCCGCGGCCGUUAAAUCUUCACAAGGUUGACCUCGGAUCAGGUAGGGAUACCCGCUGAAC
rnacentral:rRNA from 1 species